CAACAAUUGUUGAAUAUUUGGGAAAACAUCGCUCAGCUGUUGCAACAGUCAAAGGCAAUGUUAGAAACAACAUGAGAGCAGUACACACU